rnacentral:miRNA from 1 species
UAAGAGGCUGAUGACUAAAAC